rnacentral:rRNA from 1 species
UACAGAGGGUGCAAGCGUUGCUCGGAAUUAUUGGGCGUAAAGGGCAGGUAGGUGGUCUCGUUUGUCCAAGGUGAAAUCCCUGGGCUUAACUCAGGAAGUGCCUUGGAAACGGCGAGACUGGAGUACUGGAGAGGGUCGUAGAAUUCCCGGUGUAGCGGUGAAAUGCGUAGAGAUCGGGAGGAAUACCAGAGGCGAAGGCGGCGACCUGGACAGUUACUGACACUCAACUGCGAAAGCGUGGGGAG